rnacentral:piRNA from 1 species
AAGGAAGGACUAUGGAGCGUCAG